rnacentral:rRNA from 1 species
AUGCUUAGGGAUUUUAUUGGUAUCAGGGUUAAUCGUGCCAAGAAAAGCGGCAUGGUCAAUAUAACCAGUAGUGUUAACAGUCGGGAGAGGAGUGGCAUUAACACCAUCCUUCAUGAACUUAAUCCACUGUUCACCAUAAACGUGACGAUGAGGGACAUAAAAAGUAAAAAUGUCUACAGUAGAGUCAAUAGCAAGGCCACGACGCAAUGGAGAAAGACGGAGAGCGCCAACGGCGUCCAUCUCGAAGGAGUCGCCAGCGAUAACCGGAGUAGUUGAAAUGGUAAUAAGACGACCAAUCUGACCAGCAAGGAAGCCAAGAUGGGAAAGGUCAUGCGGCAUACGCUCGGCGCCAGUUUGAAUAUUAGACAUAAUUUA